GGUGCCUAGUACCCACACUCUUGGGGGAAAGGCUUUAUUUAUUCGUCCAUAUUAAGCGUUGAAACAUUACAAGUACUGGCAAGGUAGCUGGUUUUAAGUAGCUUUGUGACUGUUUCUUUUCAUCUCCUACGUGACUUCUGUACUUGACACACCUUGGAAGUCUACUUAAAGCUGUCUACAAGACUGAGCAAAGGGAAAGCAAAUCCCAUUACAGUCAAGGUGAAUCAGACGUUUUCGGAUAACCUCAGCCCUCUUUCUCCCCGUCCCUGGAGCCCCCACUCGAGGUGGGGCGCGCUCCAGCAAGUUUCUGACACGAUCCCGGGGCGCCUUCCACCUGAGAGGGUCUCCUCAAAUUAACCCGCACGUCCUCAGGUGUAGUUCGGCCUGUUUGAGAAGCAAAGCCAUGGUCUUCCAGGAACCCGGCCCCAGGGCGCAAGCCGGCCAGACGCGCCCUCCCCGGCGGGUCCGAAGGGCCUUGAGCGCAGGAAUCAAGGUGGGUCUAACGCAUCUUUAUUUUUACAAAUACUGUAAAAAUCAAUAUAAAAAAGUGAGCAUGCUCAGUCUUUUUUUCGUAUCUACAGUACAAAGGCUAGUCUCGAAAAGUCUCUUACGAAUGUACCUUAGCUGCAUCCUAGGGGUAGGAUGUAGAGAAGCUGCCGUCAUAGUAACUUAGGGUCCACGCGACAGCUGUCCAAGUCCCAGACCGGCCAGGCAGCUCCAGGCACUGCGGCCGCAGUCCGCGCGCCCCCCGCGUCACCGCGCGUCCGCCGCCCCCGCGCCGGGCAGGAAGGGUGCGCCGGGUAGCUGCUUGAAGAAUCGCCGCAGGCCGGCUAGGUCCCGUGUGAGCUGCUCCACGCGCUGUUGCAACUUCUCGUUUUCGGCUGAAAGCUCCACCAGCUUCUGCUGCAUCUCUUGGUUGCGCCGUUUGGCCUUGUCACGGCUCUUGCGCACCGCGAUGUUGUUGCGUUCGCGCCGCUGCCGAUACUCUGGGCUGCCGCGGUCCGGGCCCCGCUUGCCCGCUGCUUUGUCGCGUGCGGGCCCUGGCGCUGGGGGCGCGGGGCUGCGGCGCGGCGGCUCGGGCGACGCGGGAGGCGUGGGUUGCGCGGCGGCCGCCAGGCUCACCACCGUCUGUGCGCACGCGGCCANCCCAUGCCGUUGCAGCUCCAGGGCGCCAGCCUUAUGGUUGCUGUUGAAGAGGUCAGCGAAGAGCUCGUCGUGACACAGCUCCAGGGUGGGCACAGCGGCCAUGGAGUCUAUGUAGGCGCUGAAGUCGAUGGCGCUCUCGUCGUCGUACAUGGCGGGAGCGGCCGGCUCAGUUCCGCGACCAGGCUUCCCUGCGCGGCCAGGCUCGUAGAAGGCGGCGGGCUCCGCAGACCAGGGCGCGCCGCGCGCUGGGCCGUCUAGGCUGAAGAGCGCGGCGCUCAUGGCGGCGUCGAGCCG
rnacentral:lncRNA from 1 species